GAAAUAUAUGAGAUUUUCAAAGUAAAAGAAGUUGCUAAUUGGAAAGUUCACCUGAGCAUGCUAUGUAUGAAAUUGGUAAACGUUUAAUAUUUCUCUUUAUAAGGAACAGGCAAUUAAGGCUAAAAAAUGUUUUGAGUUCAUGUGUUUUCACUACACAAUCAACAAGUCGUGUAACGUCAGAAAAGACAGAGUUAUAUUACCCUAAAGGGAAUGAAUAAAAAAGAGGUGCCUGAGAAAAAGCCAAGCCUCCUGUUCCAACAGGAUGCAGACAGAAACAAGUUCAUUUAUCACUCACAUUGCACCUGAAGCAAAUUGCAGCUAGAUCCAAGGAGCACCUCCUAAGCAUUUGGCAUGGGAAGCAUUGGGAUUAAGUCAUGAGCAUAACCUUAAAUCCAAUCCUAACCCCUAAAUUACUACCUUAACAAGCAGAACAGUGACUUUCAGCUGAUGUCCACAUACUCCCUUGAGACUUGAAAUCACAAACAAAUAUCCAUGUGUACACGCACAUUCAUUUUUGUAACGCAUCCUUGUUCUUAAUGGCAUGUUGCAAAAUUUACAACAGUAAAUAUGUAAUCAAUGUGUUCAUGUUUAUUACAAGGAGCAUAGUAAAUUAAUAAACACUCA
rnacentral:lncRNA from 10 species